rnacentral:lncRNA from 1 species
GAACAAAAUAUAUUAGAUAUUACGCAUCAAAUGAUUAUGGCUGCCACAGCCUAUAAAGUCCAUAAUAACACCGAUAGAAAUGCAGCAUUAAUGAUUACUCAUGGCUUCACUGGUCAGUUACGAGGCUGGUGGGACAACAUCAUGACCCCUGAAGAUAAAUCAACUAUAUUAGAAAAGAAAAAAGAAAAUGGAGAAGAAGAUGCUGUAGCAACAUUAAUAUAUACUAUUAUACUUCAUUUCAUAGGAGAUCCUAGCAUAUUUAGAGAGAGAGCUUCAAGCCAGCUCGCUAAUCUCUAUUGUCCUACCAUGUCCGAUUACAGAUGGUAUAAGGACACCUUCUUCUCAAAGGUAACCUUAAGAGAAGAUGGCAACAGCGCCUUCUGGAAGGAGCGCUUUAUUGCAGGAUUACCUAGAUUAAUGCAAUCAAAGGUAUUAGAUAAUUUAUCACUUUUUAAUCAAGGAAAUCCAGUAAAUUUUGGUUCACUCUCAUUUGGACAAUUGCAUAACACUAUAGUACACACAGGAAUACAAGUUUGUACUGACUUCAAACUUCAAAACAAAAUGCAAAAAGAUAUGCAAAUCUCAAGAAAAGAAGUAGGUAGCUUUUGUGAACAAUAUGGAGUAGAACCUUUACAAGCUCCUAGUUCAAAAGCUAGAAGGAUUAAUAGAUCCAAAACAAAGCCUUCUCAGGGAUAUAAAAAGAGAAAACCAUUUCAAAAGAAACCUUAUGAACAAGGUCCUACUACUCAAAAACCUAUAAACAAAAAAGCCGUAAAUCCUAAUAAAAAGAAAAAUGUCUGCUGGAAAUGUGGAAAGCCAGGACAUUAUGCUAACAAAUGCAAAACUCAACAAAAAAUUAAUGAAUUAGAUUUAGACCAAAAACUCAAAGAUAGUCUAAUCAGUGUUCUCAUUAAUAGUGAAGAUCCUCACUACUCUUCAGAAAAUGAAUAUGAAGGAGAUGAAGACCAAGAUGUAAAUCUGGUCGAAUACUCAUCUGAUUCUCAUUCCUCUUCAGAAGAAGAAAGAGAAUGUGUUAAAGAUAGUUCAGGAUUCUGUGAUUGUGCAGGAUGCUUAGGACAAAACGUCAAUAUGCUAACCCAAGAUCAAACUAUGAGUUUAAUCUCUAUAAUAGACAAAAUGGAGGAUUCUCCCUUAAGGGACGAAUUUCUACAACAACUAAAUCUUUUGGUCAAGAAGGAACAAACCUUGAAAAAGGAAAUUAGUCCUCCAAUAAAUAGCAUGAAUGAAAUCUUUAAUAGAUUUCGUCCUAAACCAACCAUAACCUUAUCAGAUCUUCAAGAAGAAGUGAAAAUAUUAAAAGAAGAAGUUAACCAAUUAAAGCAAAAUGAUCUUAGCUUAGAGUUCAGAUUAAUGGAAAUAGCUGGGAUAAAAAUUAUAGAAUCUCAAGAAACCUUAGCCAGUACCUCAGGAUUAAAGCAAAUACAUAAUGAAGAAGAAGAAGAACCCAGUGAAAGUUAUCUUAAUCUCCUCAACUUGGUUAUAACCCAUAAAUGGCACUCUGAAAUAACUUUAGUCAUUAAUAAUGAUUUUCGAAUCAAUAUAAUAGCCCUCAUUGAUAGUGGCGCAGAUAUCAAUUGUAUUCAGGAAGGCUUAGUCCCCACUCAAUUUUAUGAGAAAACCAAAGAAGGAGUCAAUAGUGCAAAUGGAUCCAAAAUGAAUAUUCAAUACAAACUAUCAAAUGCAAAGAUUUGCAAAAGCCAAGUUUGUUUUAGAUCUUCAUUUGUCCUAGUCAAAAACAUGACAGAAAAAAUCAUUUUAGGAACUCCAUUCAUUUGUCUUCUAUACCCUAUUGAUAAAAUAGAUGAAAAAGGAAUAGUCACAACAGUCUUAGGAAAGACUAUUACUUUUCCAUUUAUAAAACCUCCUCAGGUAAAAGAAUUAAAUUUAUUAAAGGAAAUCUCCACCUCCAAAAUAAAUAUAAUCUCUAGAAAAAAGAAUCAUAUCAAUUCUUUUCAAAAAGAAAUAAAAUAUUAUAAAUUAGAAGAACAGCUCAAGAGAUCCAAUAUUCAAAAGAUUAUUAAGGAUUUUCAAGAUCGAAUAGAAAAAGAUCUAUGUGAUUUAAAUCCCAUGGCCUUUCAUCAUAGAAAAAUACAUACCAUAACAUUACCAUACAUAGACGGGUUUAAUGAGAAAGACAUCCCUACCAAAGCCCGGCCCAUUCAAAUGAAUGAACAAUAUUUAAAAUAUUGUAGAGAAGAAAUAGGAGAAUAUCUCAACAAGGGCCUGAUUCGCCACUCCAAAUCUCCUUGGAGUUGCACAGGGUUUUAUGUCAUGAAUGCAUCUGAGUUAGAAAGAGGAGCCCCUAGAUUAGUCAUUAAUUACAAACCCUUAAACAAAGUAUUAAAAUGGAUAAGAUAUCCAUUGCCUAAUAAAACAGAUCUCAUUAAAAGAUUACAUAAAGCAACAAUAUUCUCAAAAUUUGAUAUGAAGUCAGGAUAUUAUCAAAUUUCGGUCAAGGAAGAAGAUCGAUAUAAAACCGCCUUCGUUGUCCCUUUUGGUCAUUAUGAAUGGAAUGUAAUGCCACAAGGUUUGAAAAAUGCACCUAGUGAAUAUCAAAACAUCAUGAAUGAUAUAUUCUAUCCAUACAUGGACUUUACCAUUGUAUAUCUAGAUGAUGUCUUAGUAUUCUCAAAAGGCAUAGAUCAGCAUGUUCAACAUUUAGAAAAAUUUAUAGAAAUCAUUAAGAAAAAUGGAUUAGUAGUUUCAGCAAAAAAGAUGAAAAUCUUUGAAACCAAAACCAGAUUUUUAGGAUAUGAAAUUCAUCAGGGACAAAUUACCCCAAUACAAAGAUCGUUAGAAUUCGCCAAAAACUUUCCAAAUGAAUUAAAAGAGAAAACUCAAUUACAAAGAUUUCUAGGUUGUGUUAAUUAUGUAGCAGAUUUUAUCCCCAACAUAAGGAUAAUUUGUGCCCCUUUGUUCAAAAGACUUAGGAAAAACUCUCCGCCAUGGUCUGAAGAAAUGAGCCAUAGUGUUAGAGAAGUCAAAAGAUUAGUUCAAAGCCUACCUUGUUUAGGAAUACCAGAUCCAGAUGCUUCAUUAAUUAUAGAAACCGAUGCAUCAGAAUUAGGAUAUGGUGGGAUACUUAAGCAGGUAAAACCUCAGUCUUCAAAAGAACAAAUAGUUAGGUUCCAUUCAGGUAUUUGGCACCCAGCUCAACAGAAAUAUUCCACAGUCAAAAAAGAAGUUCUUUCAAUAGUUCUAUGUGUUCAAAAAUUUCAAGAUGAUGUUUUUAAUAAAAAAUUUUUGAUAAAAACUGAUUGCAAAGCAGCACCUUCAGUUUUACAAAAGGAUGUUCAAAACCUAGUUUCAAAACACAUUUUUGCCAGAUGGCAAUCUUUACUUUCUUGCUUUGAUUUUGAAAUAACUCAUAUUAAAGGAGAUAGUAACUCCCUUCCAGAUUUUCUAACCAGAGAAUUUUUACAGGGAAAACAUGAGUGAUACAAAACCCAAAUCAAAGGAUCAAUAUGGACCCCCACUGGGUUCGUCAGCAUCAUCAUCACCAUCAGGAUCAAAAGCAAUAGUAGUAACCCCUAUCAAGGUUGCUGAAUCUUUAAUACCAACCACCCCUUCAAAGCCUUCUCAAAAACUCACCACAGCUCAAAUUGUCAAAACACCUCACCAAAAAACCUCAUUAGUCCCAUUAACCAAUAAAUAUACAGUAUUAGCUCAAAGCCCUUCAAAAUCCCCUGCCAAACCCGAGCCAACCGAAUAUCUGGAAAAACCAGAAGGUGAGCCAUCUCUCAUUAUAGAAAGAGAACAUUUCUCUUUAAGUCCUAGAGAAAUAGCCACUCAAUUAUUCCCUACCAACUUUCAUUAUGUCCCUGGACACCCCAAGAAGACCAGAUUAUUUUAUGAAUUCAUUCUAGUAGACUCUGACUCCAUAGAAGUCACACAUAACCAAGAUAAACAAGGAGAAAUAGCGUUCUCCAAGAUCAAAAUCCUUAAAGUCCUUACACCCCAGGAUUGGAAUGCUCCUCUUCAUUAUUUUAAGCAGUUUUCUAGACAGUUCGACCCUCCUAGUUAUAACUACUUUGAUUAUACAGAUGCCUGGUAUUACGCCUUGUAUCUUUAUCCUUAUCAACACUCCUGGUUCAUUUGGUUCAAAAAGGGAAUCUCUUUAAAGUUCCCUCAAUGGUUUAAAGUUUGGUUUUGCAAGGUAGGGCUCGAUGAGUCUAUCUUUCCCGAAGAAGUAAAACCAUUAUUCAAGUACUUUGCUCAAAAGUCAAAUUUCAUUAUGGAAGACAAACUCCUCAUGUUCACAGCUUCGCAAGCCAUAUCUUGGAUUUUAACCUGGGAUUGGAGAACUGUAGAAAUUUAUGAGGAUACAGAACUCUAUCAGCUCUAUCGCAUUUUUAAAAUAAAAUGGUGGGCAAAAUUCAAUAUCUCUCUAAUUCAACAGACAAAACUUGAAGCUUGGAUAAAGACUUAUCAGCUUACUCAACAAAGCAAGAAACAGCUGUCAACUACCCCUGUUUCUCGUCUCAAUCAAGAAAGUUCAUUUCUUCAAGAAAGAUCAAGGCUCAUAGCCGAAUUAGCCGCAGCAAGCUCUCCCCAAGAAUUUCAAAAGAAGAUAGAUAUGAUGAGUCAGAAGUCUGGC